rnacentral:rRNA from 1 species
UACGUAGGGGGCUAGCGUUGUCCGGAAUCAUUGGGCGUAAAGCGCGUGUAGGCGGUCCGGUAAGUCCGCUGUGAAAGUCGGGGGCUCAACCCUCGAAUGCCGGUGGAUACUGUCGGGCUAGAGUGCGGAAGAGGCGAGUGGAAUUCCUGGUGUAGCGGUGAAAUGCUUAGAUAUGCCAUAGAACACCAAUUGCGAAGGCAGCCUGCCAGAGCCGUAUUGACGCUGAGGCACGAAAGCGUGGGGAGCGAACAGG